GAUGAACGCUGGCGGCGUGCCUAAUACAUGCAAGUCGAGCGAACAGACCAGGAGCUUGCUCCUCGGACGUUUGCGGCAGGCGGGUGAGUAACACGUGUAUAACCUACCUAUAAGACUGGGAUAACUUCGGGAAACCGGAUCUAAUACCGUAUAACAUGUUGAACCGCAGGGGUCGACAGUGAAAGACGGUCUUUCUGUCACUUAUAGAUGGAUCCGCGCCGCAUUAGCUAGUUGGUAAGGUAACGGCUUACCAAGGCAACGAUGCGUAGCCGAACUGAGAGAGUGAUCGGCGACACUGGAACUUGGACACGGUCAAGACUACUACGGGAGGCAGCAGUAGGGUACCUGCGGCAACGGGCGAAAGCCUUACGGAGCAACGCCGAGUGAGUUAAGACAGUGUUCGGAUCGUAAAACUCUGUUAUUAGGUAAGAACAAAUGUGUAAGUAACUAUGCACGUCUUGACGGUAACUAAUCAGAAAGCCACGGCUAACUACGUG
rnacentral:rRNA from 1 species